GUUAGAGUUAAGACCUGCCAAAUAUGGGGUACAUUGAUGUUGUGGAAGGCUUAUGCAUUGUAUGAUCAUAUAAUGUAACUAAACCCCCAUAAUUUUUGCCUAGAUUAGGUGUUUUUAAAAAAACUAAUAAAAUCUGUCAACAUUGAAGUUGCUGUUUAGCGUGUGCUGCGAUCAGCUCAGACUCUCAGCCAAUGAGCUGGC